CGAAGUGAGGGAUACCGGCGAGAAAUCGCCGACAAUACCGCAUACGCUUCUGCCUUGAGAGAGAGAGAAGCAAAGUCUCGCGCAAGCGAGGCGCUUUGGGAUGGGCCUGUGGCCGAUUAGCUAGCUGGUGGGGUAAUGGCUCACCAGGGCGACGAUCGGUAGCUGGUCUGAGAGGACGAUCAGCCACACUGGGAUUGAGAACGGCCCAG
rnacentral:rRNA from 1 species